UCCUCCCCCCGCGACUCCCCUCGAUCUGUCUGCACCGUCCACCUCCUCCCCCGCGACUCCCCUCGAUCUGUCAGCCCCGCCGCCUCCCUUCGACCCCCUUCGAAUCCAGCAUCGCCACCUCCCCUCGACCCCCUUCGAGUCGAGCGGCGCUGCCUCCCCUCGUUCCUCCUGUCCUGCUCCAGCCGCCGGCAACGACCACUCCAGCUGCCGCCGAUGCCGACGAGGAUGGACUGUUGAAUCCGCCGCCGAGGAGCAAAGGGCCAUCUGCGGAUUUCUAGCUGAUCUCUUCCUCCUACAUCAACCUCCUCUGCAUAUCUCAAGAACCAAACAAAACGCGGUUGGUCCAGUCCGGAGCUGUUACAGACUGUAUUCAGUUCCCCUUUACGUUUACGUUACCACUCAACGAAACAAACACCUCCCUAGUGUAAACAAGAUCUCUUACCAAUAUGAUGAGAUCUACUAUAUGUUGAAGUUACUUUCAAAAUUUGGAAGGGAAUAAAAUGUCAUGUUGAACUA